GCAUCGAUGAAGAACGCAGCGAAACGCGAAAGGUAAUGCGAAUUGCAGAAUCAGUGAGUCAUCGAAUCUUUGAACGCACAUUGCGCCUCUCGGUAUUCCGGGAGGCACGCCUGUUCGAGCGCCAUUACAAACUCCAAGCGUGGCUUGAUGUUGGGCGAUGUCUUUUUGCGAGAGCGGAGACACGUCUGGAACGCGUUGGCGCCGCCGCCGGACCACGAGCGUAGCAAGACGAGAGUCAAUCGCAUCGAUUUGGAUUCCGACGGAGGUCCGCUAUGGGACUGCACUCUCGAGUGUAAGUUCACAACUUCUCAAGUUUGGCCUCGGAUCAGGCGGGGAUACCCGCUGAACUUAAGCAUAUCAAUAAGCGGAGGA
rnacentral:rRNA from 1 species